ACGUAGGUGGCAAGCGUUAUCCGGAUUUAUUGGGCGUAAAGCGAGCGCAGGCGGUUUGAUAAGUCUGAUGUGAAAGCCUUUGGCUUAACCAAAGAAGUGCAUCGGAAACUGUCAGACUUGAGUGCAGAAGAGGACAGUGGAACUCCAUGUGUAGCGGUGGAAUGCGUAGAUAUAUGGAAGAACACCAGUGGCGAAGGCGGCUGUCUGGUCUGCAACUGACGCUGAGGCUCGAAAGCAUGGGUAGCGAACAG
rnacentral:rRNA from 2 species